CGUCGAGAGCGGGCCGGGCCGGGGCGGGGCCGAGGAGCCUGGCAGGGCUGUGGGGCCGAGACCGAGAACGCCGAGACCGAGACCGCAGCCGUGACCGGUGUCCGUGUGGGCUCGUCGGGUCCCGCUGUGCGCGGAUGGCCAGCACUCCUGGGAAUCAGAAAGCCACACACCUGGAAAAUUCCCAAGGGAAGAAAUCCCAGCAUGCAGAAGAAGCCAUUUUUUACAUGAACUGCAGAGCAGCUUAUCUGACUGUCUUAAAAAGCAGCUUAGAAAAUAUUAAAUCAAAAGAACAGCUCAGUUUAGUACUUCAGCAGGCUGGAAGAAAUCCUUCUCAGAAGACCAUUAACAAAUACUGGACUUCACAAACAUCUUCACUGAAUUUUGAUGAUUUUUGUGCUAUUUUAAAAAAAGAAAAGCCAGCUACAAAAAAUGAACUGCUCGAAGCAUUUGGUAAAAUAGACACAGAUAAGGCUGGUUAUAUUUCACAUGAUGAACUUUGUAAAAUUCUUACAACAAGAGGUGAUAAAAUGACCUGGGAGGAAGUGACCAGCAUCACUAAACAAGCUGAUUUUAACUGCAAUGGCAAACUUGACUACAACAAGUUCUGUGAGCUGUACCUGAGCACCAGUGAGCAGUGCUGCAAAGCUGCAAGGGACAGGCUGGAAACUGACCCUCGGCUGAGGCAGCAGCACUUUGGGAACCAAACUGAAAAUGUCCCUGGAGGGACCACACUGCCAGUGUCAAAACACUCCCCAAGGGCCUCCAGGAAAACUGAUCACAAACUGGCUAAAGGCGACAGCAGAGCUCCUUCAAGACCUUCAUCAGCUCAAAGCAGCAAAGCUUCCACCUGCACCACUGUCACUGUGGGUGCCAGCAGCAGCAGGAACACAAAGCUAAUUAUUGAGCCUGACACAAUGAAGGAAUGGCAAUGUGCACAAUCCAGAGGCUGCUUCUACCUGGAGGAGAAUGGGGAAAUCAUCAGUCACAAGUACAGGCUGCACUUACCCCAGAGAUCUGCACUUUGGAUCACCAUCAAACCUUUCAGCAUUCCCCAGGCACAAGGAAAAUCUUGUCACUGGUUGUCAGUGGAUACAGCUUUGUUUAUUCUGAAGGAAAAUGAAACCCAAGAGAAUUUACAGCUUGUGAGCUUUACUGAACUCCAGAACAAAGAGAUGUUUGGCUGGAGAGGGGAGCUUGGAUCUGGGAUUUACUGGCUGCUCCCUUUCACAACUGGCUGCAGGCUGAGGAAGGGAAAAACCCAAAUUCCUGGGGAAGCCAAACUGGUGUGGAGGGAUGAAGAUGGAGAGCUGGCUCUCACCAAAGAAUUCCGAGCUGCUUUGUUGGAUAUAUUUGAAACGAUUGAUUUGGAUGGGAAUGGCCUCCUGAGUCUGGAGGAGUACAACUUCUUUGAGCUGAGGACUAGUGGGGAGAAGUGUGACCAGGAAGCCUGGGCUGUGUGCAAGGAAAAUUUUGAGAUGAAGAAGAAUGAGCUAACAAGACAAGGAUUUCUGGACUUGAAUCUCAUGGAAGCCAACGACCGGGAUGGGGAUCCUUGGGACCUUUGGGUCACUUUGUUGUCCCUGGGCUACAACAGAGCCUUAGAAAUGACAGAGGCCUGCCCCUUUGUCAUUGACAUCUGGGCAGAGAGGUGCAAACCCAGAAUUAAAGCCAUUUCCCUGGAGGCAGGGGGCUCCCAGCUCAGCAGGGCUCUCUGCAGGUCUGUGCUUAACAAAGGAGAGGCCAAAGUGCUGGAUGGCUCUGAGAACAUCUUCAUCCACACCUACAGAUCAGGCAGCAGGAUCACCUCUGUGAUUGAAAAUAAGUCUGAAAAUAAAGUGAUAAUUCAUGUCAACAAUGAGCAGAGUAAGAACUGCCUGAACAAUAGGGGGCUGACAGUUUUUGCUGUGGAAGUGGCUCCAAAAUCCAUGAUGGUCUCUCAGCAUGUGAUGGCCCUGAAUGAGCAGGAAGAGUGGAUUUACAGCUGUGUGCACUCCCUUGGCAGCUGAAAUAAGAAGACUGAAGUGCACCAAGUUUGGGCUGCAACAGCAAUGAAAGCCAUCUUUGAGGAAAGGAAUGGUUAAAGCUGAGAGAUCACUGCACGUGGAAAGAGUUGGGUUUGCUGCAGGUAAAAAACAUGGCACAGCACUACACAGGGAACCUCAUUUAUUUUCUGAUCAUCCUGCUGCCAGGAAGGGUUUCAUUAUCCAGUUUUUUAAGUGAGGACGUUGGCAAAGUCUCCAUGGCAGUUUCUACAUUUCCUGCCCUGGAGGAGGUGAGAUUAGAGAUCUUGGUUGUAUCUGCAGAGUCUUUUUCAGUUUGCCCCAAAUCCAGGUGCCACCAAGACAGAAGAAAUCCAGCUUCUCUAUUUAAGGUUGAACACAGGUACCAGCUUAUUUUCUUUGAGGGGAGACAUUUAGGAGAAAAAAAUCUCUGUAUCAGGUAAUUUCAAUUUCUGGAAUGUUCCCUUUCUUUUGAGAACUAGAGCUAUAACAAAAUUCAGCUUCUUCAAGGCUUUGCUAAUGCUGACCUUCCCUGCCUUUGCUAAUGGAGCUCUGGGGGGCUCCUGCUUCUGUGGGGUGCUCACUUCAGCCAGGGCCUGUCUGUAAGGCCUCUGGGGACAUCCUGCUCCUGGCCACGGGGACAGCCAGGGUCUGGAGCACCUGGGACAGCUGGGGGGUUCACCUGGAGCAAAGGAGGCUCAGGGGGGACCUUGUGGCUCUGCACAACUCCCUGACAGGAGGGGAUGGCCAGGGAGGGUCAGACUCUGCUCCCAGGGAUCAGAGACAGGAUGAGGAAAAAGGGCUUCAGGUUGUACCAGGGAAGGUUUGGAUUGGAUCUCAGGGAAAAUUUCUUGAUGGAAAGUGUCUGAUCCUGGCACAGCUUCCCAGGGCAGUGGUGGAGUCCCCAUCCCUGGAGGGAUUUAAAACCCAUGCGGAUGUGGUACUUGGGGACAUGACUUAAGUGGUGGCCUCGGCACUGCUGGGGAGCGGCUGGACUUGAAAAUCUUGAAGCCCUUUCCUAAACCUAAGCCAUUCCAUGAUUCCACGACACUGGCUCGGAUGGAGCAGAGCGCCAGGACCCGGAGGUGCUCGGGGCUGUGACAGGACAGGCCAGGCCAGCCCAGGGAUGCUGUCUGUCACCCGCGGGCUGGUGCGGGCGGUGCCUUUAAGGGGCGGUCGCGG